UACAGAGGGUGCGAGCGUUAAUCGGAAUUACUGGGCGUAAAGCGUGCGUAGGUGGUCUUUUAAGCUGGAUGUGAAAGCCCCGGGCUUAACCUGGGAACUGCAUUCAGGACUGGGAGACUCGAGUCUGGGAGAGGGUGGUGGAAUUUCCGGUGUAGCGGUGAAAUGCGUAGAUAUCGGAAGGAACAUCAGUGGCGAAGGCGACCGCCUGGCCUAAGACUGACACUGAGGCACGAAAGCGUGGGGAGCAAACAGG
rnacentral:rRNA from 1 species